ensembl:snoRNA U3 Small nucleolar RNA U3
AAGACUAUACUUUCAGGGAUCAUUUCUAUAGUAUGUUACUAGAACUCACCUAGCUGAACAAGCUAAAACAGUAUCAGAACAGGGUAACA